AUGUAACGCCAUGGGGUAGGAAGCCCGGAAACUUCUCCGAUCCAGACUUGGAACCCUCAGCUCCUCCUCCAGCACCAUGCCUGUCUGCCGGCCACCCUGCUCCUGCCAUGAUGACAAUGGACUAAACCUCUGUACAAGACGCCCGCAAUUCAACGCAAUUCAACGUUCUCCUUCCUAGGAGUUGUCACCGUCAGGGUGUCUCUUCACAGCCAUAGAACACUGACGGAGACAAAGGCCCACUCCCCACUGAUCUAAAACUUCCCCUUGGCCCCCUCUUCAAAGGUGUCACCUUCCCUGACACCAGGCUGAAGACCAAGCUUUAACACGAAGGCCUUGGGGGGCAUCCCAGACCCAAACUCUAGCAUUCUUCUGUUCCCGAUAUGUUGUUCUCUCUCCGCGCACCACUGAGAGGGUACAUUUGAAACGCCUCCCACACCGUGACAUUUGUGACACAUUUUCCUGGGCAGGGAGAUACGAGCAAAUGUGUGUCCACCUGAGACAGGGCAACGCUCUGGGUACCAGGCUGGUGGGAAGACUACACAUUACAGGGGUGUACUCAAAGGCGGCAGAAUUACCUUCUCAGAAUGACUGAAGACUCAUGAAAGUUGUGCCCCUGCCUGGUUUUCAGUCAUCUGCGCCAACUUCAGAGACUGGUCUCCCCAGAAACAGUUACUGUGUAUUAUCCUGGUCUCCCCAGAAAUUGUUACUGUGUAUUAUCCUGGUCUUGUGAAUCUCAUACAUUGUACUGGCUUCCUGGGUCA